rnacentral:rRNA from 1 species
GACGAGAGGUGCCGAGCGUUAGGCGGAAUCACUGGGCUUAAAGCGUGUGUAGGCGGGCGGGCAAGUACCUUGUGAAAUCCCACGGCUCAACCGUGGAACGGCUGGGUAUACUGGCCUGUCUUGAGCCAACUAGGGGCGAGCGGAACAGACGGUGGAGCGGUGAAAUGCGUAGAUAUCGUCUGGAACGCCGAAGGUGAAAACAGCUCGCUGGGGCUGUGCUGACGCUGAGACACGAAAGCCAGGGGAGCGAACGGG